GAUGAACGCUGGCGGUAUGCUUAACACAUGCAAGUCGAACGGACUCUUCGGAGUUAGUGGCGGACGGGUGAGUAACGCGUGAGAAUCUGGCUUUGGGUUCGGGACAACCACUGGAAACGGUGGCUAAUACCGGAUGUGCCGAGAGGUAAAAGAGAAAUUGCCUGAAGAUGAGCUCGCGUCUGAUUAGCUAGUUGGUGAGGUAAAGGCUCACCAAGGCAGCGAUCAGUAGCUGGUCUGAGAGGAUGACCAGCCACACUGGGACUGAGACACGGCCCAGACUCCUACGGGAGGCAGCAGUGGGGAAUUUUCCGCAAUGGGCGAAAGCCUGACGGAGCAAUACCGCGUGAGGGAAGAAGGCUCUUGAGUUGUAAACCUCUUUUCUUAGGGAAGAACAAAAUGACGGUACCUAAGGAAUCAGCAUCGGCUAACUCCGUG
rnacentral:rRNA from 1 species